rnacentral:rRNA from 1 species
CUACGGGGCGCACCAGUAAGGAAUAUUGCGCAAUGGAGGCAACUCUGACGCAGCCAUGCCGCGUGCAGGAAGAAGGCCUUAUGGGUCGUAAACUGCUUUUAUUUAGGAAUAAACCCCCGAACGUGUUCGGGGCUGAAGGUACUAAACGAAUAAGCACCGGCUAACUCCGUGCCAGCAGCCGCGGUAAUACGGAGGGUGCAAGCGUUAUCCGGAUUUAUUGGGUUUAAAGGGUGCGCAGGCGGGCUAUUAAGUCAGUGGUGAAAUCCCGGGGCUCAACUCCGGAACUGCCAUUGAUACUGAUAGUCUUGAGUUUGGUUGAAGUGGGCGGAAUGUAGCAUGUAGCGGUGAAAUGCAUAGAUAUGCUACAGAACACCAAUCGCGAAGGCAACUCACUAAGCCAAAACUGACGCUCAUGCACGAAAGCGUGGGGAUCAAACAGGAUUAGAUACCCCUGUAGUC